rnacentral:lncRNA from 1 species
CACACACAUGACCAAGUGGGAUAUUGAGCCACCGUCUAUCUAAUCUCUAUAACACCAAAUCAGAUAUAUUGAUUUCAUAGUGGUAAAAAUUCUAAUGAGAGUCAUCAAUAAGAUUCUAAUGACAAGUUCCUCGUAUUAUAUUAUUCUCAAGCAUUACAUGGAUUGAUGAUUCAUUGGAUAAUUAAUUGUGAUUAAAUUGAACAAUUAAUGAUUAUUCACGAAAUUAAUAUUACAUGUAUUGUUUAGAUACAAAUAGGUCACCUAAGAGCAAUAUACUUAAACAUAUAUAUAUUGCCCCAAAUAUAUUUUACCUCUCCAUGUAUGAAAAUAACGUGGGUGUGACACCCUAAAAUUUGUCUUUUGGAAAUAAAGCUAAAUUGAUUCAAUUAUUGUAUUUUUGGUGCUCAUGAAACAUAGGAAAAUAAUAUUUUCAUUAAAUUAAAAAUUUAUUAUAGGAUUUAGCAACAUGGUUGUGCAUUCAUAUUGGAGCAUAUGUUUUAUUCAAUGUGUGGUUUUGAUCAAAGUCAAAAUAUUUUUAAAUUGAUUUGAAAACUGCUUUGAAAAGACUUUGAAAUAAAAAGAAAAAAAAAGAAAAAAAAAGAGAACUUACCUGCUCUCGGCCUGGACCUGUGGCCGAGGCCCAGCUCCUUCCCAGCUCACAGCCCAGCAGCAGGCCAGGCCGCGCGCGCCGUGUCCCCUUGCGCUGGCCCAGUACGUCCCCAGGCGGCCCAGCUGGACCAGACCCGCGCCACCCCCUUCUCCUUCUCUCUGUCACCCGGCCCCCACGCCUUGAGUCGUUGACAUCUGGGGCCCACACGUCAGCGACUCACCUUUCUUCUUCCUCAGGUCGUGGCCGAGUCGGUCUCUCCCUCUCUCGGUGAAAACCAAAUCCCGCAUAGGAUGGGAUUGCUUGCAUUAGGAGAUCUUCUCCAAGAUCAUUUAAGCCCCGUGCCCCCCUCUCGACCCUCUUUUCCAUCUACAAAGCCCAGAGUUCGUCCCAGCCGCUCCUUCGGCGCAGUUCGGAUCUCUCCGGCUAAUGAACUCGCCACCGUUGAGGUCUUCGCCCUCUGCUGCUUUCAGAACACCGAAAACCCCUUGCCGAGCUUCGGGACGAGAUGAAGAAGGUGUAGAGCUUCAUCUCGUGUCCUCUGUCGCGCCCUACCGUUCCCUAACUAUCGCCGAACACUGCAGGGGCCUUUCACCCGCCAACGCGCGCCGCCCGUCUCCUCCAAGCCCUCUCCGACCGUAAGAACGCCCUAGGUGAGUUCGGUAUGAGAUUCUCCUCCGCCAAGUGUAUUUAUUUUGAUUUCUAGUGCUCGGUUUCGCGAAAACCAUUGUCUCCAGUGAGGAGAACGCGUCUCCGGCCAUGGCGCCGCCGCGGGCUCCUGAGCAACGUCGGCGAUCUCCCUCUCUCUCCCUGGAAAUCGCUCUGCGCCUUUCGAUCCAAAAUCAAGGGCCGAGAUUAGAAGAUACCCCUUCGGGGUAUAAGUUGUUAAAGAGCCCCUGGAAUCUUUAGAUUUCAAACCCGCAGUCCUUUACGCCUUCGGAAAAUACGCUUUGCUGUGUUGAAAACGUAAACCGCAUCGGCUUGAUUGAAAAUACGUUUUCAAUAUUUACAAAAUUGCCACUGACUUUCUUUUGGCCAUAAAAUAUCCAUCUUAACUCCGUUUUUGUCCAUUCAAAUUCCGUUAGAUUCAUAUUUACGAGCUCUACAUGUUGGAAGUAUUUAUUCUCUGUUUUGAAACUUUUUAAUUCUGCAUUAGCAUUUAAUUAAUUAUUUCUCUAUAGGAAAUCUUGGAAAAUGCAUAACUUCUCCGUUUUAAUUCCGAUUUUCGUGAACUUUACGUUUGUGUGAUCGUAGCGCUGCGUAGAAUAUUUUCAUAAACUUUUAUACUUGUUUUACCACUGUUUGGUGUAAUGUUCUAAUUAUAUCUUGUUUGCUUUGUGUAUGAUUGUCUCCAUUGGAUUGCGUGUUGUUGAUUGAUGUUUGGGAAUAGACGGUGAGCCGUACGUUGGUGAUCAAGACCAAACCUUUGAGGACCAGCAGGCUCAGGAGAGCUUUGAUCAAGGUAAGUAUAACUUGGGAUCAUCCUUGUUACCUAUUCACUUAUAACUACACAUAUAUAUCAUAUGCAUGCUUUCAUCUUGUCGACCUUAGCAAAAUCAUAGAUGAUUGUUACCUGGAUUCCUUGCUACCUACUUGAUAUGCAUUUGGAGUAGAUGUGCUAGUGCUUGAUAUAAUCCAUGAUCUUGUAAGAUGAUUAAUAGCUAUGCAAUGAACGUUAAAAGAUGACAAAUGACUAUAUGAGAUCUUGUCUGUAAGUGAUUACCGGGACAACAGUGCAACCAUGAGGGCUAUAAUGGCUCUGGCUUUAGCUCAGUAUGAAGACCUUUUCUAGCUUGUUAGAGGUUACCCGAAAGGGCGGAGGGGCUAAACCGACACGGAUAUAGUGCGAGCCCCUGUCCCUAUGUGUAUAGGCUGCGCGUCAUUGUGCCAUUUGGAAGGGGGUAUCUAUAUAUGCUCGCAAAGGAAACCUUACGGCCCUAACAUGUUAGACAAACUUUUUAAAGGCUUCAUAGUGAUCCCUGCCGACCUCCCUAGGAAGGGGGUUAAGAGAUUAGUUACCUCGGGCGAAAGGGUAAAUCAUGACUCAUGGGUAAAGAUGUACAACCUCUGCAGAGUGUUAAAAACUGGUAUACUAGCCGUGCUCACGGUUAUGAGCGGCCUUGGGGGGUCUUGCUGCGACGGCGAUGAGCUUGUUAAGUUAUUAUGAUCAUUUGAUUAUCGUUUAUGCUAAGAAUUAAUUAUGCUUACACUUGAUCAUGUGGUUAAUGGAUUAUUUAUGCUACCUUGAAAUUUGUUAUUCAAUUAUGAACAUGCUAUCUACUAUUAAAAGCUAAAUGCAAUCAAACCAGUGUCAGCUAUUUGAGCCUCAUGAACCCUUGGUUAUACUUGUUGAGUACGAUAUGUGCUCACUCUUGCAAUUUCCCAACACCCCAGGUUAUGCUAAUGAUGAUGAUUGGAAUGAGGACUAUCGCUAUGAGUAUUAGGUUUGGAGUCAACCAGUCAACAGUGUCCCUGUGUGGAGCUUCCGUCGAGAGCGUUGUUUACUUUAUGUUAUCAUCUUUGUAUGAGACUAUGUGAUAUAUUAUAUUCCGCUAUGUAAUGAACAGUGCAAUGGUACAUUUGAGAUUUGUCUACUUAUGUGUGCGACUGUUUCUGGGGCACAUAUGAGUCUUUUAUGCAUCCUAUUUUAUUCUUAAAAUAUGGGUGUGACAAAUUGGUAUCAGAGCUUUGUUGACUGUCGGACGCAAGCCUAGUUAGAAAUUGAUCAUCUUAAGGUUUUGAAAUUGUUAUAACAUCCUUGCUCUACAAACCUUGGUAUUUUCCUCUAUUCUAUAUCUCUACCCUUGCUAUUUCUCUCUACCUUGUUGCUUAUUUUAAAAGUCCUUGCUCUCACCUUCACUCCUUGAUUUGGGUUGCUUUUAGAACCUUCUCUUAUCAUCUUCUUGUGCCUUUUAAAGAGGAGUUUUAGGAUCUUUACCCUUGCUAUGAAGAGAACGAUAGUAUCGCAAGUUGAGUGAAGUGUGAACCUUCAAUGCUUAAUUGGUUUGUUAUUAUGUUUAUGUUUGAUUUGGAUAUUUGUAAUGAGUGUAAUUAUUUUGUGAGUUUUUUCACAAUUUUAUUUAGUUUAUAGAUCUAAGGUAUAAGGAUUAAUGAAAUAAGUAGUUGGGUUUGGCUAUCUCUUGUUUCUAUCCCUUGCUGAAUUCUGGAGCAGUCUGCCAUAAUGCCGGUGUAUCUCAAGUUCUGAUCAUGCAAAGUUUAUCAAAGUUUUUUGGGAACAAAUAAACUUCAAGAUCUUUCCCUGACCGCAAGAAUCACCCUAAUAGCUAUUAUGGUUUGAAAGUUACAAAAAUCACAAAAUGAUACAGAUGUGCUGUCAAGAAUCUGGACCAGUUUUGGUUGCAUAAUGUGUAAGACAAAUAUAACUAUAGAAUUUGGAAAAGUGUUCUAUAUAAAGGUUGUAGAAAAUUUUCUAAGCUUUCCAACAGUAUAAUCUGGGACUUAUUUGGAUAAGUAGAACCUGAGAUAUGAUAUUUUCAAUUGGAUGUUUCUGUUCUGUUUCAAAAUCUGGACAGAUCUGGUAUUUCCUAUUCUCAGCCAAGUUAAAGACAGAAUCUGGGAAAACAUGGUAUACGAAAGUUGUAGAGGAUUUCCUAAGCUUUUCAAAAAUGUAAGGAUCAUCUCCAGAGGAGUUAAGUAGCUCGAGAUAUAAUUUUUGGAAGUUACCACACCUUUGCUGAGACAUUAUCAGGAAGGAUAUUAUGUUUGGUUGUUUUACCUAAGCUUAAAGACAGAAUCUAAGGAGGUCUUCUACAGGAAAGUUGUGGUGAAUUUCAUAAGCUUUCUAACGGUAUAAGCUAAUGCUCUAUUGGAUUAAUAGAAUAAGAGUUAUGUCUAAUUUACUACGCUGGUAUUUUUCAUGUCACGAGAAAAUUUCAGGAUACCUGUUCGAUCUCUUGCACAAUAAGCUCUUUGGGAUGCCAGAAGUUCUCUAUGUUAGUUAACUUGUCUGGAACACAUGCAAGCUACCUUUCUUGUGUCCCCUAGUUGACCCUUUUAAGGGGGUAGCCCAAUUAAAGGAGUUACAAUGAGAAGGAUUGGCUAGUGUUGGAUCAUAUGUGAGGAUCACAAGCGCUUGGUAAAUUGGUUUUGAUUCAAGAUAUCAUCCCAUUCAGAGAAUAUUAAUGGAGAUAUAUGUCAUUGCUGAUACUCAUGGAUUGAGAGUUAUGUUAUGAGGAUCAGAUGACACCAAAGUUUACGAAGUUAUAAUUGGGAUGCGAGAGUGAAACAACUUGAUUGUGAAAAAGGUACCAAUAGUUGGAACUUAGUGAUGAAAGUAACCUUGGAUUAAGAGACUUGGUACAAGCGAGUUUAAAAGACUAUGAUGUGUAGCGUCCAAAAAGGAUAGGAGAACUAGCCCCUAGUAUUCUCCAAUCAAUCUCAUCUUAAGGGGGGUAGUACCAUGAUAUCACAAGAGGAGGCAUAUCCAUGCUAAGCUACCAUGUCUUUGAGUCGUAUAAAUCAAAAAGUUGGAAUUCAAGACGGACUUUGAUCAAUGAUGGAUAAUAAACAUCCUAUGGAAACUUUGUUCAUAAGUUAUGAUCCCGAGACAUAAGUGUUUGCAGUUGGAAUGCAAGUUGUGAAGUUGAAAUAGUGAUCAAAAUCUUUUCCUGUUUCUCUUUUGGAAUCCGUGCUCUUCCGAAUCUCGAGGACGAGAUUCAUUUUAAGGGGGGUAGAUUUGUGACACCCUAAAAUUUGUCCUUUGGAAAUAAAGCUAAAUUGAUUUAAUUAUUGUAUUUUUGGUGCUCAUGAAACAUAGGAAAAUAAUAUUUUCAUUAAAUUAAAAAUUUAUUAUAGGAUUUAGCAACAUGGUUGUGCGUUCAUAUUGGAGCAUAUGUUUUAUUCAAUGUGUGGUUUUGAUCAAAGUCAAAAUAUUUUCAAAUUGAUUUGAAAACUGCUUUGAAAAGACUUUGAAAUAAAAAGAAACAAAAAAAGAAAAAAAGAGAACUUACCUGCUCUCGGCCUGGACCUGUGGCCGAGGCCCAGCUCCUUCCCAGCUCACAGCCCAGCAGCAGGCCAGGCCGCGCGCGCCCUGUCCCCUUGCGCCGGCCCAGUACGUCCCCAGGCGGCCCAGCUGGACCAGACCCGUGCCACCCCCUUCUCCUUCUCUCUGUCACCCGGCCCCCACGCCUUGAGUCGUUGACAUCUGGGGCCCGCACGUCAGCGACUCACCUUUCUUCUUCCUCAGGUCGUAGCCGAGUCGGUCUCUCCCUCUGUCGGUGAAACCAAAUCCCGCAUAGGAUGGGAUUGCUUGCAUUAGGAGAUCUUCUCCAAGAUCAUUUAAGCCCCGUGCCCCCCUCUCGACCCUCUUUUCCAUCUACAAAGCCCAGAGUUCGUCCCAGCCGCUCCUUCGGCGCAGUUCGGAUCUCUCCGGCUAAUGAACUCGCCGCCGUUGAGGUCUUCGCCCUCUGCUGCUUUCAGAACACCGAAAACCCCUUGCCGAGCUUCGGGACGAGAUGAAGAAGGUGUAGAGCUUCAUCUCGUGUCCUCUGUCGCGCCCUACCGUUCCCUAACUAUCGCCGAACACUGCAGGGGCCUUUCACCCGCCAACGCGCGCCGCCCGUCUCCUCCAAGCCCUCUCCGACCGUA